rnacentral:rRNA from 1 species
UACGUAGGGUGCGAGCGUUAAUCGGAAUUACUGGGCGUAAAGCGUGCGCAGGCGGUCUGUUAAGACAGAUGUGAAAUCCCCGGGCUUAACCUGGGAACUGCAUUUGUGACUGGCAGGCUAGAGUAUGGCAGAGGGGGGUAGAAUUCCACGUGUAGCAGUGAAAUGCGUAGAGAUGUGGAGGAAUACCGAUGGCGAAGGCAGCCCCCUGGGCCAAUACUGACGCUCAUGAACGAAAGCGUGGGGAGCAAACAGG